CCCUGCUGCUCCGUGUGGAGGGGUGUGCAGCGAGCAGCCAGGCUUGGUCCAAGCAGAUGGAGGCGGUCAGCCUGGCUGUCUAUGUGCUGGGGCCUCUGCUGCUGCCUCUCUUGGCCGUGUUGCUGAUGGCUCUGUGUGUGCGCUGCCGGGAGCUGCCAGACGCUGAGAGCCCCAUACUCCAUCACCCUCUGCCCUCGUCACCCUCUUUUCCUGCCUCACGGGCCCUCUCUUCCCCAGGCUCAUAUGACACGGCCGUCUCCGAUAGUUUGACCCCAAGUAGCAUCAUGAUCAAACUGCCUCCCACACUCGUCCCACGGCCAUCCGCCACUCCCUACCCGCUCCAGAGCCAACCAGACCUGCUCCCCAUCCCAAGGUCCCCGCAGCCCCUCGGAGGCUCCCACCGUAUGGCGUCGUCCCGGCAGGACUCAGACAGUGCCAACAGCGUGGCCAGCUACGAGAACGAGGGUGUGACUGGGACCCCCGUGGCCCCGGCUGGGAGGCGGCUGAGACCCGUCCUGGGCUCCGCUGACCCUGUGUCGUUACCCCCAGAGGCAGCCUGUGAGGAUGCGGACGAAGAUGACGAUGACUAUAACAACGAGGGCUACUUGGUGGUGCUUCCUGACAGGGACCCGGCCACCAACACUGGCAACACCAUCUCACCGGCUCCUGCAUCCAGCAAACCUGGCCUCCGAGACAGCGCCUUCUCCAUGGAGUCGGGGGAAGAUUACGUGAAUGUUCCUGAGAGUGAGGAGAGUGCCGACGCGUCUCUGAGUGAGUGGGGGGGCCUUCCUGGUGCCCUCCUGGGGUCUGCCAUCCCUCCCUCCCUCCCUCUUGCCCCCUCCCCCAUCCUUACUCUCAUGCCAUCCUGGGGUGGGUGUCUCCAGUCCCCUGCCCCCUGGGGCUCCCUCACCCUCUGCCUGGGUGUCCUCUUGCUCUCUCAUCCUCCGUGAGACCUGUCCCCCUUUGGGUGUGGCUGCCCCUCCUUCUGACCUGUCCCCACAGAUGGGAGCCGGGAAUACGUGAACGUGUCCCAGGAGCUGCAGCCCGCGGUGAAAACCAAGCCUGACACCCAGAAUUCCCAGGAGGUGGAGGACGAGGAAGCUCCAGAUUACGAAAAUCUGUAGCUGAGCUGAGGGCCUGCGUGCGGCCAUGCUGGUUCUGGAACCAGCCUCGCCUGGGAAUGCUGAGCUGUGCGGCUGGCGGUGGCUCUGCGGGGCCCCACUUGGCACCCUGCCCCGGCUGUGGCCUGACAAAAGCCUGAGAAAUUUUCCCCCUAACUUAUUGUCACUUUGGGGUCCGGUCUCUGUGGCCCCUAAACUCUGCACCUUCUGAUGCAGCCUGAGAAUGAACCACCCUGGCCCCAGCCCUGCUCUGUCAGAGAAUAAAGGCUGGUGCGGUCUGCAGUACUCUUGGCUUUGGCUGGCCAGUGGGUCGGAGUCAGGGUGAGAGUGGGCUGUGUCUGAAGACUUGCGUGGUUGUGUGAAUGCAUGUGUGUUUCUGGAUCUCCAUUCUCACAGGCCCUUCAUGCUCCCGAGGGUCCCGACCAGGUAUGUGUGACUGCAUGAAGCCUGGGAUAUGUCGCCUUCUGAGUGAGGCCGUUUCUGACCCCGGCUGGCACUCCUGGGGCUCGGACACGUCUCCCCACAAGAUAGUCCUUGGAAGUAGCAGGCGACGGCUGUGAUGAUGGGAGAAGGGGGUGUGGGGAAGCACUGGAUGGGCGUCUGGAGUAAGACCUUCCCCGCUGGCUCCCAGUUUCCCCAUCUUUAAAACAGAGGAGUUGACCCGCUGACCUCAGAGGACCUUCUUAAUUCUUAAUUUUUGUGGUUCUUAAUAAAACAGAACUUUAAAAAAUUGUCUAAGCGACUGAAAAUGUUAACGGGCAGCACAGUUGUCUUCAGGCUUGGAUGUACAAAUGACUCUGGGGGUUUUGCUAAAAUGCAGAUUCAGAUUCAGUCGAUCUGGGAUGGAGACUGGAUGGACUCUGCAUUCCUAAGGAGCUCCCACGUGGUGGUUCUACGACUGCUGUUCUGAGACCCCAUUCCGAGUUGCAGGGUCUGGUGGAUACCCUGGUUGUUGUGACUGGCUUCUCUUCGCAAGCAUGUGACAACCUGGCCAGAGUGAGGCCCAACGCUGGAUGUGGGCGGGAAGCAUCAGGAAGGAGAAGCUUUCUUGUUCAUGGCAGUCGCGGAGCAGGGAGAACAUGGCCCUGGAGCCCCCCACCUGGAGAGUCUCUUGAGAACAAAGCCAGCGUGGAGGGGAGAGACGGCCUGGAGGUGGGCAGGGCUGGCUUCCUGGUGGCAUCAGAAUGCUUGGACCCAGUCAGAGCUGAAGCAAGACGCCCCCUCUGACUGCCAGUUACUUGGGCCAAUAAAUGACCAGUUUCCUUCAA